UACUCAUAUUAUGACGCAUAUCGGAUUAUUGGAAUAAUAAGGCGUAUAAUAUUAUUGAUUUUUAUGACGUAAUACGCAUACAUAGACUGUCUGUCUGCCUAUUGGCGAUUGAAAGUAAUAAGCUGUAACAGGAACGCUGUGUAUCAUAAUUCAUAUUUUAUGUGUUAUUUUUCCAGUUCCCUGUUACACUGUUGACUUUUUCCCUGUUGACUGCCCCCAACCCUAUAGAUUCACCCCCCGACGGCCAGAAAAUUGAUAAGCUUUCAAUCGCCAAUCGUUAGUGAGCACUGAUAUUAUAUUAUACGUAUCUUGUCUAUGCAGCUGCUGUGAAUCUUUUUCGGCUGUCGGUCUCAAGUAUUCUACUAUUCUACUGUUUGUGAUUUUUGUGCACUUGUGAAUACUUGUUGUAGCCGUCCUGAACCACGUCGUAUACACUUUAUGUCAUUGAAUCUAUGAUAUUGUAAAUAUCGUCUGUUGACAAAUCCAAAAUACAUCAAUAUUGUUUUUUAAAAUGGCAUCAAGAAGUUUUGAUGAUGAGAAGCCAACAUCAGAGCCAACUGAGGAUGAGCCUUCCAAAAAAAAAAACAAAUUAUUAGUGGAUAAUAAAACUAAAAAAAGUCUUAAAAGAAAACACAGUCUAGAGUAUCAAGAAAUGCGUAAUGAAAAAAAAAUUAAGUUUUAUAGGGAGAUAAUGAGGAUGGUUGAACGAACUUAUGCUGUCGUAUACAGAACUUACGAGGAUCACGUAAAUAAUAACGUUCCAGAUACUACAAGUUAAAUAAAUAAAACCUGGAUUUGAGAUUAAAUUAUGUACCUAAUUCAAGAAUACAUAGAUAAAAAAGUAAGAAAUUAUGUUACAAAAUGUAUGUUAGUUAUUGUAACCCAAUAGUGCAAUUAUUAUAUAUCUUGAAUCAAUAUUUCCAUAAUUUAUUAUAUUCUGUAUUUUACAUUAAUGUUUUUUUUUUUUUUUACAUUACUAAUCAUAAUAUAUUUUGACCAGGUGUUACAAUAGUUACCAGUGUAUUUUUUCUUUCAUUAUUAUACUUACUUCUUGUACAAUGGCUCAAUAAUAAUGUACUUUCGGGUUAUCUCAACUACUUUAGGUUACAAAUAGGAACCAGCACCCUAAGUUUUACAUUUUUAUAAGAACAUUUCACAAGACUUUGUAAUGUAAUGUAACCAUGAAAACUUUUUU